GCAGGCAGAAUGUGGCUGCCCUGAUAAUAUCGGGGAGGAAAGUCCGGGCUCCGGAGGAUAGCGUAAUGGGUAAUACCCAUCUGCGUUUUUUAAAAAAACGCACGGAUCCAGAGCCACAGAGACGAGUUCCGCUGUUUAUUUAGGCGGAGGUGAAACGAGGCAAUCUCUACGCGGAGCAAAGCGUAAAAUCCUUACCCAGGCUGCAGCAAUGCGGCAUAAAGGUGAUCCGCCUGAAUCUUUAUAGAAGCAAUUCUAUGGCUGGGCAAGAGGGUAGGCUGCUAAAGCCGUUUUAGUAAUAAAGCGGUUGAGAGGAAUAGCCACUAAUCGAUGUGGAUAAUCACAUCAAGACAGAACCCGGCUUAUUCUGCCUGCGUUU
rnacentral:RNase_P_RNA from 1 species